CCUGGUGGCUCAGAUGGUAAAGAAUCUGCCUGCAAUGCAGGAGACCUAGGUUCGAUUCCUGCAUCUGGA
rnacentral:tRNA from 1 species